ensembl:lncRNA
GGGCUCAUUUGGAGUCAAAAACAAGCCAAAACAGGAUACGCUUAUGGGCGGAGCUUCUCUUUGAUUGACGGGUUCGUGAGAGUCGUCUUCCUCUUACAAACCUUUGACAGUGUGUUUUCACUUCAUUAAAGUUGUGAAACUGAUUAUUAUGGUUUCAAAUAUCAAGAUAGCAGCAACAGAGAGAUUUGUUCUGUCCGUUUUCACUGUAAAUGCCCAUUUGACAACCAUGGACCUUUGUUUAACUACCAUAUAUAUAUAUGUCUAAGAAACACAGCUUUGGUUCAACACCAUCAAAUAAAGGUUUAUCAUUGCCCAUCGGAGAUGACACGUAUACCAACCGGCUUCAUUAUUAGACAACAGACGUGGCACAAAGACCGAGUUAGUCUGUUAUAUCAAGCACGAUGCUUCUGUUCCCCGCACAAAACAUCAUCUGGCUUUUUGUGCAAAAUAUGCAGCUGUAGCCUCCCGCUUGUAUCAAACGGUCAUGUUUAGCUUAGCUUGAUUAGCUAGCUUGCUACAGCUCGCCAAUGAAAUCAAUGCCCCGCUGUUUGAAUCUGCCAUGUUAUUAAUGCAAACGCGUGACGAUGAACCAACUCGACAUACAUGGCAACAGUAACUAUGGGGGAAGAAAAAUCCCACUAAGGGGGCAAAAAGUCGACAGCGUCAACUUCAAUUAUCUGGACAGCAUUGAAACCCCAAAUCUCUGAGGACAGACGGCCAGCAAGCUUUGCUUUCUUUGUUCGUUGUCGGAUCAAAAGGAAUCACUUUGGGACUUAAAGGAAAAAAGCCACUUCAUGGGUAUUUGUGAUACAACCACAGAGAGAGAAACUCAUAUUUCUUGUUGGUUUCACCCUGUCGAGUGAUGUCACGUCACGUCAAGUUUGUUUUCGUAAAGUCCGAUGUCGUGUUCGGGGUCUCGGUGGGCUUUGCGGACCCUCAGCUGCCACGACUCUGAGGCCGAGCUGCCUGGCGUCGGGACGAGAAGGAACCCGGAGAAUGUCGUCUUAUAAUAAAUAGAAGACGAUUUCAGAGUAACUCUGCCUCUGCUUCAGAUCCGUGCCCAGCGGAGAUGUCGUCUUAACUGCUGCUACUGCAGAUUUGAGAGAAUUAACCGAGUCGAGGAAGGAUCAACUGCGCAGUAUUUUCAACAGCCGGUUGAAUGAAAGGAACGCGGAGGCUUUUACUAUUGUUCCGAACUGCAGCAGAGAAACAAUAUAAAUGCAUAUAAAGCAACUUAACUAUACAGUUAUGGCCUCAGUUUUAACGGUGAUAUCGUGCACCAUCCGCUGUCUAAAUGUAAUCUUGUCCUACGUUGUUGUCUAUUAUUUAUCCUUUUUCCGGUUAUCUUCCCUUUAAUUUAGCACCAGUUACUCGCGCGCUGUGACAGUGACAGUUGGUGAUCAACCAGAGGAACCUUUGAUCAAUUAGCAGGGAAAUACCAGGGCUUUGCUGCCACGUGUGUGUGUGUGUGUGUGUCUGUGUGUGUGUGUGUGUGUGUGUGAGGAUCAUUAAAUGACAAAGUGUGUGUGGCAAGGCUUCUUGCUUUUAAUUUUUCAUCUGGUUUCUGUAGCCAAGUUGCAGACGUGUGUGUGUGUGUGUGCGUUUGCAUUUGCAUGCAGUUCUGCAUGUUUGCGUGUCUGCAAGUCUCAACAGAGAUGAAGAGGAAACAGAAGACAAACAAUCUGACAGCUGUAUGCCGAAUGUACUCUAUGUGUUGUUGGGCCAUUGUGUGUUUGUGUGCGUGUGUGUGUGUGUGUGUGUGUGUGUGUGUGUGUGUGUGUGUGUGUGUGUUGAGCCACACGCUCCGAGUUAAACGUGAAAAGCAAUAUCGGGUGUGUUCUGGUUUAUAAUGGCGGCCUGUGGGCAUCAUUUUCUCCCUUUGUCACUUUUCGGUCUCGGAGCCGCCGUGUCUGGAUGUGACAUGUGGUCUUUGAAUUGUUUUUGAGACAUUUACUAAAACCUUAAUAACGAACUCCUUCAUCUUAUCGAUUUUGAGGUAUUAACAUUCUGUUCAGAGCUGGAAGUGCUAAGAACAGCUUUUCAAUCUUUGACUGCAACUCACGACUAUUCUACUAUUUAUUCCUCAUAAAUGAAUCAUUUUUGGAACAAUCAGUCUUUGCUUUAUAAAACAUUGGAAAAGUAGUUGAGUGUGGUCCACAAAAUCAAUAAUAUAACGCCAAAAUAUAAUAAAUACAAGAAUUCAUCCACUUAGUUUCCAAUAAACCUUUUGUACUGUUUAACUCAUCAAUUGAUUGCCAUUUGUUUCUGGCCACAUCCAAUUUGAAGGCUGCUUUUAAACCUCCUAAAAAGGAAGCAGAAAGAAACUCCACAAACCGACAUUUUAAAUUUGCUUUAUUGCCAUUUUAUAGUUAGAUGAAAAGAUUGAGCUCAUGCCCCCGUCUGUACAGUAAACAUCAAGCUACAGGCCUUGGUUGUUGCCUGGCGACAGCAGAAAUUCAAUACAGACUACUUUGGAUCACUAUAUCGAAUUAAAAAUAAUCAAAUAUGAAAUAAUCAAAUUGAUGUUUAAGUUUUGACACUAACAACGUCUCCCACUUGGCGUGUCACAUGGGCAUAAAUCAACACCUUUAAAAACACAUUGAUGGAAAAUGUUACAUAUUUACGAUCGUUUUCACCACUUUUGUAAAAUGGGUGUCCGGAAACAGCCCCGGCGUAUUUAGCCGGCGUGUGUCACAUGACUGUGGAAAUCAAUGUGACAUCAGAACGUGGCGCACAGCCUUCUACAUCAAACGUGUGAGAGAAUGGCAAACAGGAAACAAAGCACAGUGUGGUGCUUUUCACCUGCAGACAGAAACACGGCCAGAUGACCUAUUUGUGACGCCGUGGUGGAGUAACCUCUGCAAACGCCCAGAGAGAACGCGGCCUUUAGGUCGUGGCGACGCUUAUCGUUCCAUCUAUAAAACGUUUUUCACUUAACGACACAAUUGCUCUGAUGUUCGCUUGUAUAAUACACACGUUAAUGUACUUGACCAGCAACAGGAAGCGGAAUGUAAAGCUGAUGACAAAAUAAAGCAACUUCAGCUUUAAUACGGACGGCGCGGUGAAAAAAUACGGCAUUUAUUAGAUAUUCUGCUUAGAAAGUCCCCCAUCUGACGGAAACAAUUUUUCUAUUAAUUAUAGGCAUUUUCAUUCAAUUUCAAUCUAACAAUCGGUAGAGAUGAUUCCUCAUUACCUCCAUGUAUGUGAAUCACUGCCUCACCCCUCGAUCCGCCUUUGUGAUCCAUGAUGCCGCCCUCAUUAAUAUCACAUCGUACAUAAAAGGGGGAGAAAGCUUCUUUGAACUCGAGGUGUAUUUCCAAAAGCCCUUCACGCAUUUCGAAUUUAGGAGAGUAAAGAUUAAGUUCAGGGAGAAAAAAUAAUGCUCAGGCUCUCACACACACACACACACACACACACACACACACACACACACACACACACACACACACACGCAGCAGCAUCAUGAUGAUGUCAGGACCGAAGUCACAUCAUCUUGGAAAGAAAACAGGCCAGAAUCUCAUCACUGCAUCCUGAAAUGAGAUUACCACCCCGGCCCUGCUUUUUAUAUAGAAGUCAAUAUAUCAUUCAUCUUGCCUCUGCCUCCUUCCCCUACAAAUCCUAUUAAAUCCCAGAUAUGUCCCAUAGAAUAAAGACCGGCUGGCUGGCGAGGGGGAGAGAGGGAGGGAGGGAGGGAGACGUGAGUGUUGUGGACUUCACAGAGCUUCUCCCAGCGUCACUCAGUCAAGGACACAUUGAGACGUGUAAACUGCAAACAUCACACGCGGGACUUGCUUUCUGUUGUGCGUCCACGAGACCAUUUAACGUCUCGCGAAUGCAAACCGGGAACAAAGCGGAUGCUUAUGGAUCACUGCGUUGGUGUGAUCGCGUGCUAUCGUGUGCAGACAAAAGUACCUCGGGUUGCUAGUGAGACAUAAAGAGACGGGACCUCUGUCCACGGCGCCGAGGCGCAUAAAUACUCAUGAGGUCAAACUUCCCCUUUCUUCCAUCGCUUCAUGUUUCCUGGCUGCUCUUCAGCCUGAAUAGAUGACACACAACCAUGUAAGGAACCAGUGUUUAGGAAACACACAACUCCGCUAUCUAUAAAUCAUGAAUACAGGAGACGCCUCCUUUAGUAUUUGCACAUUUUUUUAAAAAUAAACCUAAAACAUUUUACAAUCUUGAGUGGUCACUAACGAACCGGCGACGAAUGAGUCAUGAAUGAGUCGUUCAUGAAUAAUUCAAGGAUGAAGUUGAUGAUAAACGAAGGACGUUGCUGCUCUGGAUACAGAGAGACGUCUACGAGAAAAUAACUGCUUGUCACUUGAUCCAUGCACCUGAAGAAAAGAUGGCAAACACGAGUUUAUGCUCCUAAUCUCUAGUUUGAUUUCUUCUGAAAUAUAAUAUAGUAAGAACACUUUGAGCAGAGCAGACCACCAGGCGGCUUCAGGGACCUUGUGAUUGACAGAUCUGAACUGGGACGGUUUCACAGUGUUUUUCGUUGCCUAAAUUGUGUUUUAUUCCACAUCAGCAAAUGUGGGCUUAUAGAGAUAUUAGCCAGACGGCACCAGAUGCCAAGACGUUGUCAGACUGACAGCUGAUCGCGUUUGGAUUUGUUACUUUUACAUUUUAGAUAACAGUCUGAUGGCCCUUUUUCCUGUUUCAACAUGUCCUCAGGUGAAAAAACAGAUGUGUAAAGAAAUGACCUCCCCGGUUUGUUGUUGAACAGCUGCACAGACCUCGACCCAAUCUGACACCUUUUCAGCCGAGACCAACACUGACCCCUCGCCGGACGCAGAACACAGCCGUGUGAGAAAGGUGCACCCCCCGCUGGGCCAACGGACGAGGGGGGGGG